rnacentral:rRNA from 1 species
CAGCCGCCGCGGUAAUACGAAGGGUGCAAGCGUUAAUCGGAAUUACUGGGCGUAAAGCGUGCGUAGGCGGUGAGUUAAGUCUGCUGUGAAAUCCCCGGGCUCAACCUGGGAAUGGCAGUGGAUACUGGCUCGCUAGAGUGUGUCAGAGGAUGGUGGAAUUCCCGGUGUAGCAGUGAAAUGCGUAGAGAUCGGAAGGAACAUCUGUGGCGAAGGCGACUAUCUGGGCCAACACUGACACUGAGGCACGAAAGCGUGGGGAGCAAACAGGAUUAGAUACCCGUGUAGUCCCUGUCUCUUAUAC